rnacentral:rRNA from 1 species
AUUGAACGCUGGCGGCAGGCCUAACACAUGCAAGUCGAGCGGCAGCGGGAAAGUAGCUUGCUACUUUUGCCGGCGAGCGGCGGACGGGUGAGUAAUGCCUGGGAAAUUGCCCAGUCGAGGGGGAUAACAGUUGGAAACGACUGCUAAUACCGCAUACGCCCUACGGGGGAAAGCAGGGGACCUUCGGGCCUUGCGCGAUUGGAUAUGCCCAGGUGGGAUUAGCUAGUUGGUGAGGUAAUGGCUCACCAAGGCGACGAUCCCUAGCUGGUCUGAGAGGAUGAUCAGCCAGACUGGAACUGAGACACGGUCCAGACUCCUACGGGAGGCAGCAGUGGGGAAUAUUGCACAAUGGGGGAAACCCUGAUGCAGCCAUGCCGCGUGUGUGAAGAAGGCCUUCGGGUUGUAAAGCACUUUCAGCGAGGAGGAAAGGUUGAUGCCUAAUACGUAUCAACUGUGACGUUACUCGCAGAAGAAGCACCGGCUAACUCCGUGCCAGCCGCCGCGGUAACAC